GGGGAUGUGGCUCAGUGGUUAAGUACCUCUGGGAUCAAUCCCUGGUAACACACACACACACACACCAAAAAAAAAAAAAAGAGAGAGAGAGAGAGAGAGAGAAAAGAAAAUUUAAAAAAUAAAACGGACUGGGGGUGUAUCUCAGUGAUAAAGUGCUCCUGGGUUCAAUUACCAGUAUCCCCC
rnacentral:tRNA from 1 species